GCUUACGGCCAUACCACCCUGAAGCGCUCGAUCUCGCUGAUCUCGGAGCUAAGCAGGGUCAGGCCUGGUUAGUACUUGGAUGGGAGACCGCCUGGGAAUACCAGGUGCUGUAAGCU
rnacentral:rRNA from 1 species